rnacentral:lncRNA from 1 species
GCGGCACAUUUGUCAUGGGAACACAUCCUUUAAUGUUUUAUUUAUUAUUAUUAUUACUGUUUAUACGACGUAGUUUGGAAAUAGGAUUCAAGGGAAUUUAGCAAUUAUUGAAGUGCUGUCCAAUGGGGAACCGACAGUUGGAGUAUUGGUAGAUUCGACCAAUUACAGUUGAGGAGGAGGUGUAUGCAGCGAACUGGAAAAGCUAAAUUCCGAUGAGAUUUAGAGACAAUCUGUCAAAAUUCAAUUACAGCGUGGACGGAUGGAGACCGGACACAACUGGACCCCUCUGCCUUCUGCCUUCUGCCUUCUGUUCAACUGCGGGUCCACCCCACAGCUCUCGGCUUCAGCCGCAGCUCAUACAAAUGAAAAUAAAACAAGUGAAAAUAAACAAAUGUUUUUAAAUUGAGGGGAAAAAUGUUUUUUUUUUUUUUUUUUCGUAGCAAUAAAAGAAGAUUUUAGAUGAUGAUGUCACAUGUCUGAUGUGUCUCCUCCACAAACGAAAUUAAUCAAGGAGGAGCCAAGAGCGCGUAGACGAAGCCGACGUGAGGUUGCGUCAUUAGCCAGAUAAGCAGCAGCGUGCGCAAGAAUCUGAACUCUUAAUUAUUUUGAUAAGGGCACCCAACCCACCAGCUUUGCCACUCAUUGCUCACGCAAAAGACAAAAUAAAUACUCAUACCAGAAAAAGACAAAAAUGAAUAAUUUUUAUAAAAAAAUUUAUUAAUCAAAAAGACACAAUUACCCUUUCAAGUAUGUUAGGCAAAAUUAAAAUUGCACACAUUUGACCAGUUAGUGUUGAAUUUUCACGCUUUGUAUGGUACCUACUCCUUUUUUUAGGGGACAAAUUUGUACCUACUCUACUCCUCUCCUCUUACUCACUUUUUGAGCAAAAUUUCACUCUUCUUUAACCUUCUC